AACAAUCGAUAAUACUCUUUUCGAUACCAAAGCACGAAACGUAUACAUACAUAUGUAUAUGUAUACCGAAUUCUCUUUUUUACCGAGGGAGCAACAAAGGAGUCCGUCGGAGAUCGCUAAUUGAUCGCCAAGGUUUGAGAAUUCCCUCUUCCCGCCCCUCCUCCAAUAGCUGCAUGCUUCUUGCUUCUCGAUGCGUUAAGGGUACCAAUUCCGGUUCCGGAUCGUGAUCUUUGGCUCUCAAAACGCGCUUCGGAUCGGUCAGAUUGCUUUAGAUUUGUCCCUUUUCUUGCCAUUCCCGUCAGAUUGGUAAACUGAUCCGAUUUGCUUGCUUUCAUCUUCUGUUCUGCUGAGGAUUGGAUGAAAAGCCUCGUCUCUUUCUUUUCUUUUGGGGCCUUUUGCGGAUUUGAUGUGUACUCUGAUGUUACAGUUUUAUGUAAUUUGAUCUGUUCUUAGAUCUUUGGUUGGGAACAGUUUUUGGAGAAAGAAAACAGGGGAUUGUGUGAUUAUGUACUUGGAUCUUGGUGUUGAAGGUGGGGGAGGAGUGGGUUAGUCGGGGAUCUCUCAAGUAUAUCCCGUAUGUUCUUGGGGUCUGCCUUUUCCGAGGAAUGUAUGAUUAGCUUGUGAAACUGGGGGUCCAAAUAGCUCGAAAGAGUUGUAGGUGGAAGAAGGACAAGCAUACGGUUGGCCCUUUUCUCGAAUGACCACAACUCAAUUUAGUCCUCGAAGACAAAUUCUAGGGUUCUAGCUUUUUUUUUUCUUCACAUUACCUGACCUAUGACCAUUCAAUGAAAUUAUUUGUACUCUGAUCGAGUUAAUUUUUUGGUGCAGUUCUAGAGAUGGAGUUUUCAUGAUGCCUCACAAUUGAGAUUCUGGUGGCCAGCUUAGAACCAAUUGAGACCUUCGCUUGUGACAAGCCACCAGGUCAGUAACGUAAGAAACUUGGGUUUUAUCCUCUUUUUCAUCCUCAGCACGAAGGGGCAUUUAAGCAAUAGAGUUUACCAACGUAAGAGUUCCUGAAAAAGAAUGUGUCAACUUUGCCUUGACUUCUCAUCAAGAUAUCUCAGUUAUGGCUUCUUUCGAUCUUAUCCUCCUAUGCAUGCCAUUGUGGUUGUUUCUGAUAAUUCUGCAAGUAUUUCUUUUAAUUAGAAUUGAUGCUCCGUUGCCUUCAACAGAAUAGAGAACACUUCCAGAUUUCAUUUAGGACCUACAAAAUAAAACUAUGUCGGACAGCACCUUUUGAAGUGAAUCAUGAUCUCAUAAAAUUUCGUUUUAACGACCUUUUAUACCUUCCAUACUACAAUUCUAAUUGGCUUAAUAAACUUUCUAAAUCAAAUUAUAUCCACAUUGUGUUUUAUAGAUUUUUUUUUUUUGUUGCUGCAAAGGGUAAGUGAUGAAGGCAAGAUUCAAGCUCAAGGCCUUGCGAUAUACUAUUAAUGUCUUCACCAACUAAACUAUGUGACACCUUCAGUUUUAUAAAUAUUAAUACAACUCAAUAUAGGAUUGUAAAAACAUCCGAAAUAGCCUAUAAUGCGAACGAUGGAAAUUUUGUUGAAAUUUUGUUGAAAUUUGACUCUUCUCUAUAAUCUACCUUAGUAGGAUCUUUAUCUUGAGCACGCAUUUGGUUUCUUUUCUAGGCUAUGCAUCACAGUUGGUGUUUAUUAGAAAUUAGUUUACUUUUCAUAUUCAAUACAAUCUGGCACAAGUAAACUAGCACUGUUAUUUUGACCCUUCAGCUUUGGCCACUAGUAGACCCAAAGAUUAGAAAUGCUUUCUAGCAAAGCUGUAACUUACCAAAUGAUAGUUUUGCUAUCAUGGCCUGUUGAAUUCAUCAUGUAUCUUUUCCUGCUGUGUCGACAAAGAGGUGGACAUCUGUGUUUUCGGAUCAUGGCUUGUUCAAGUGAUAAUCUUUUCUGAAGUAAUUGCUUGUGAACAAUACUUGGAAGUGCGACUUGGUAGAAAUUAGACAUUAUCAGAGAGGAUCUUGCUCGCAUAUAUGUAGCUGAAUUAACAUCUGUUGUUGCCCACCUUCAUGCAGAUGGUAUAAUGCACUGGGACCUGUAGCCUGAGAAUGUUCUCCUGGAUGCAGAUGAUCAUGUGAGACCUUCUAUCUCUUGUUCUGCUUUUCUUCCAAUCUGCGUCUUUCUCAAUUUUCCCAAGAAUGAGUUUCACUAGAUCAAACUUCCAAUCUUCAUCUUUCUCAAGUUUGUCAUGUUCUUUUAGGCCAUGCCAACUGACUUUGGUCUGGCAAAGAAGUUUGAUGAAAACACUAGAUCAAACUCCCUCUGCGGAACACUGGUAUAUGGCACCUGAAAUCGUUCCCCGAAAAGGGCCAUGAUAAAGCUGCUGAUUAGUGGAGUGUUGGAAUUCUUCUGUUUGAGAUGCUGACAGGGAAGAGAGAAGCAAACAAGCGCCUUGGAAGUCGCAGUGGCCCUGGCAGCAGCGGCAAUGAGAUAGAGAACCAUAAGUGGUUCAAAUCUAUUACUUGGAAAAAACUGAUGCAACGGGAGAUCCGGCCUAGUGUUUCUGGACACGGUUGCAUUUCCAACUUUGACGAGUGAUGGACGACCAUGCUGGUGUUGGACUCACCGAUUUCCGGCCCAAUUGCUGGAGAAAACGACGACAACGGUGGAUGAAUGAUGCGCUUCUGUCUUGUUGCAGCACGAAAGAUUACUGCUUAUGAAAUUGAGAAAGUGGUAAGACAGAAUAAAAGGAGCAAAUGUAAGGAUGUGAAGAAAGAACACUGAAUCUGGACUAGCUUGUCAAAUCAGUCCUACUAGGCCGAGGAAAUAAAACACAGCAAUAAUUUCGCCGUGCCGGGGUCCAAGCUAGGCCACCAGCUAGCGGCAGUGAAGAGGCUUCUCAGGCCAUCCCACCCGAGAAAGAGACUUCCGUGGAGGUGUCCAAGCCAGGCCGUUCUACUUCAUCGACGUCGGCAUCAGAAGGUCAUCCCCGUCUCUGUCACCCCGCCAAGGUGAAUGGGUUGGCUCUUCGUCCUGUUCACUUAGAUCUUCUGUGCAACAGCUCGCACGUGUUUGCCAGGCGGGCUGCUUCGACCAUGUGUCAUUUCCUCCUCUCUUUUUUAUGCGCACAGGCGAAGGGCUGACGGAGGAAGAGGAUAAUGUGGGUCGGACCACAUGGCGAGGCGGCUGCUGCGUGCGGGCCACAGUGUUACGGUGACCCGUCAAGAGCUGAAAUCUGGAUAGAAUACGAUGAUGGAUUUUUUUUUUUGUUUUUUGGCCACUGAAACAUCUCAUUGAUAGUUGAAAAGCCCUUGAAUCCGAAGUAAUGUUGGAGAAUGCUUCGGUCACGUCUGACAUCACACGCUUGAUUCCACUGGUUUGCUCUCCAGGGACGUGAGAUCAACCAAAGCAAAUUCCAGGCACGCGAUCAAUUGCGGAGGGACCUUUCCACGUGGCUGACAGAUGGCGCUCCGCAUACCAGUCUAACGAUCGGACGGCUCCGCGAGGAUCAUGGAACGACAACCCUCCCGACCACACGUUGACCGCGUUGACGAAGCCGAAGAGGAGGAGGAUAAAACAAUCCACGCUGG